AGCGAACGCUGGCGGCAGGCCUAACACAUGCAAGUCGAACGGACCCUUCGGGGUUAGUGGCGGACGGGUGAGUAACACGUGGGAACGUGCCUUUAGGUUCGGAAUAGCUCCUGGAAACGGGUGGUAAUACCGAAUGUGCCCUUCGGGGGAAAGAUUUAUCGCCUUUAGAGCGGCCCGCGUCUGAUUAGCUAGUUGGUGAGGUAAUGGCUCACCAAGGCGACGAUCAAUAGCUGGUCUGAGAGGAUGACCAGCCACAUUGGGACUGAGACACGGCCCAAACUCCUACGGGAGGCAGCAGUGGGGAAUCUUGCGCAAUGGGCGAAAGCCUGACGCAGCCAUGCCGCGUGAAUGAUGAAGGUCUUAGGAUUGUAAAAUUCUUUCACCGGGGACGAUAAUGACGGUACCCGGAGAAGAAGCCCCGGCUAACUUCGUGCCAGCCGCCGCUGUAAGAC
rnacentral:rRNA from 1 species